rnacentral:misc_RNA from 1 species
GCAAUUUUUCUGAGGGGAGGCGAUCACCGCUAUCCAUUAUGCUUGAAGGAUCUUGUAUCAAGGUUCCCACUGAUUUCACCUUGGUUGGAUUAUCAUCACAGUCAGUAAAAUCGAUUGGUUUAGUUAAAUCACUAGCAGAUUUAUAACCCGGAAAAUCAUGUUUUCUCCCAGGCCAGUAUUUCAUUCGAUCCAACUCACUGCUACUUCUCUCAAGUAAAUCUACAGUUUCCCAUUGCUUUGACUGAGGUGUUGAAUUGUACCAUAUCUUUCUUUGUCUCUCCAGCAUAUCUGAACUCUUUGCAUUCUCCACAAGCUGAUAGUACAUUUCUUUUGAAAUUGAUGGCUUAAGACAUGAGAGAAGAGCUUUCUCUGAAGCUAGAGAUGCUGGCUGCCUGCGAAGGAAGGGCCUUAUUACGGGGACAAGAA